AGUCACCCUCGAGCUUCGGUGAAAGAAGGAAGGCACUCUGUCUGCCUGUCUGUCUGUCUAACGAAUGAAGGAGAGAAAAAGAGAGAAAGAAAAGAGAAAGAGGUGAAAGAAAAAAAGAAUAAACGUUUGGAAUCACCAGAGUAUAGAGGAUUCAACUCUACAAGGGAACCAAAAUAAAGGAUCGGAAACUAUAGGUGACAGAACAAUAAACGAAUGAAACAAACUAAAGCGAAACGAAAAUAAAAUAGAAAAACAUAAAGAAAAAAAAACAAGAAAAACAAGUAAAUAAGAGAAGAAGAAGAAGAAGAAGAA